AUAGUUCGUUUAGUAGCAAGUAAUAACAAUAAAUUAAUGAAAACUUUAUUUUGUGAAUUACGUGAAGUUCUUUUAUUCUUCUAGAAUCUCUUUGUGUGCAUGUCAGCAUGUGGGACAUGAAUUAAUUUGUCAACAUACUAUAUAAUUAGGCUAAUUAGUUGCCAUGCCCUGCUACAUUAUGCGGGAACAAUUAGCAUAUUAUGGCGAUUCUUCAGAAUCUUUAACAUGGAUUUUAAUAUGUGAUUGCCAAUUACGUGAUCUAAGAUCUGCAACUCUUAAUGCACUGCGCGAGUCAUGACUCAUGGGCUAUCCUAAAGUUAUGUGUGUGUGUCUAGAGUUGGGUGUGUAUAUUGUUGAUAUGGUUCAAUGGAUCCGUUCACAUUUGCAACAAUAAGACAAGAGCUACGAUCAUUGAUUCAAUUAUAGUAUCAUUGAUCGAUGUAAAGACAAAAUAAGCAAAAUAAGAAUAGAAAGUUAUGACAACUCCAACAAAAAAGAAUAAUGACCCAUACAAUCAAAUAAAUUUGUACAUUUUUUGGUAGGGACUGAUCCAAAAAAUUAUCAAGUGGGGGCCGAAAAAAAGUAUUGAUAAAUAGUACAUACAAGUUUUAUUUUUUAUUUUUAAUAUAGAAUAAGUUUAAAAAUUAUAAGUUUUACAUUGUCGAUGCAUAUCAAACGGAGAUACAUACAUCUAUGAGUUUUAAAUUACUCUUACUCACUUCUAAAAUGGUAUACGAUGUCAGAAUCACAUGUCCAAAUAACACAAUUGAAAUUUUAAUGGUGAUAAUCAAAUUAUUUACAUAAUAAUAUUUUUAUAAAUAAUAACGUGUGCUGGUAUAUAUUAUAAAAAACAGCGAAUAUUAUAAAUCCAAAUAAAUUGUAUCUAAAAUUAUAGUAGUAUAUAAAUAGUGUGCAAGUAUAUUCUUCUUCCUCUUAUUUAUGAUAGUAUCGUAGUAAAGAAAGUACAGAACCGUGUGAUGACUUGUGUUGAAAUAGUAGGUGACUUUAUGGAAAGGGCAAUAUGCACUACUACUACUAGUAAGUAUUGCUAAAAGCUUGCACUUGAAAAUGGAAAGGCCAGCCAGCCAAGAAAUGUGUGCCUAAAAAGAAAGAAAAGCAUGUUUGUGGUUUAGUUUUCUUUGGUUCUAAUAUAUGCAAUAUGCACGCAUCACUUUCAGCGGCAACACAACCAAGUUGACACGGAAUUCGUGGGUUACCAAACAAGUCCCCUAAAAAGGAAGCUAUCUCUAAUCUAUUCUCACAUUUCAUAAUCUUAAUUUUAGGCCCCAUAUUGAUGGUUGACAUGUAGCUAUAUUUAGCUUUGGUUCACGAGUUUGCCUUUUCAUUUACAUUUAUACGUGGCCUACUUUUGUCUCAAUGAGAGGGAGCCAUUCUCUAUGUUGUUGCCACUUAUCC
rnacentral:lncRNA from 1 species